rnacentral:rRNA from 1 species
GACGAACGCUGGCGGCGUGCCUAAUACAUGCAAGUUGAGCGAUGAAGAUUGGUGCUUGCCCCAAUUUGAAGAGCAGCGAACGGGUGAGUAACGCGUGGGGAAUCUGCCUUUGAGCGGGGGACAACAUUUGGAAACGAAUGCUAAUACCGCAUAACAACUUUAAACAUAAGUUUUAAGUUUGAAAGAUGCAAUUGCAUCACUCAAAGAUGAUCCCGCGUUGUAUUAGCUAGUUGGUGAGGUAAAGGCUCACCAAGGCGAUGAUACAUAGCCGACCUGAGAGGGUGAUCGGCCACAUUGGGGCUGAGACACGGCCCAAACUCCUACGGGAGGCAGCAGUAGGGAAUCUUCGGCAAUGGACGAAAGUCUGACCGAGCAACGCCGCGUGAGUGAAGAAGGGUUUCGGAUCGUAAAACUCUGUUGGUAGAGAAGAACGUUGGUGAGAGUGGAAAGCUCAUCAAGUGACGGUAACUACCCAGAAAGGGACGGCUAACUACGUG